rnacentral:lncRNA from 1 species
AUAGAGAGGAGAGUUAGACUUGGAAACGUGAGGUAAUGGGCAUAGAGAGGAGAGAGUUAGACUGGGAAUGUGAGGUAAUGGGGAUAGAGAGGAGAGUUAGACUGGGAAACGUGAGGUAACAGGCAUGGAGAGAGGAGAGUUAGAGGGGAAACGUGAGGUAACGGGCAUGGAGAGAGGAGAGUUAGACUGGGAUUGGGCAUGAUGUUGAUUUGAGGAGGAGUUGCAAGUCCGGGCAGUACAUUCAUUUGCAUCAAAUGUGCUGCAUCAGCUCAGAGCAGCUCCUUUAGAGAAGCUGGGUGGCAGUGAAGAGAAGGUGGAAGCCAGCCUGCCCGUGUGUGGGUGAGAGGUGGCCAUGCUGGUGUCCGAGGCCUGUUCUGUGCCCCGCAGUGCUGUCCUUUUGUCUUUCCAAUCCUCAGUCAAAGCGUUUCCUCGCAAACUGGCUGCUGAAAACAGAGUGGGACGGGAGCCGCACACAUGAGCAGUGCUGAUAGGU